rnacentral:rRNA from 1 species
AUUGAACGCUGGCGGCAGGCUUAACACAUGCAAGUCGAACGAGUGGCGGACGGGUGAGUAAUGCUUGGGAAUCUAGCUUAUGGAGGGGGAUAACUACGGGAAACUGUAGCUAAUACCGCAUACUAUCGGAUGAACCCAUAUGGGAUUAGCUUGUAGGUGGGGUAAAGGCUCACCUAGGCGACGAUCUCUAGCUGGUUUGAGAGGAUGAUCAGCAACAUGGGUACUGAGACACGGCCCGGACUCCUACGGGAGGCGGCAGUGGGGAAUAUUGGACAAUGGGCGCAAGCCUGAUGCAGCAAUGCCGCGGGGAUGAAGAAGGCCUUAGGGUUGUAAAGUACUUUCAGCGGGGAGGCGUUACCCGCCGAAGAAGCACCGGCUAACUCCGUGCCAGCAGCCGCGGUAAUUC